CACGUAGGGGGCAAGCGUUGUCCGGAUUUAUUGGGCGUAAAGCGCGUGUAGGCGGCUUGGCAAGUCGGGUGUGAAAUCCCUCAGCUCAACUGAGGAACUGCGCCCGAGACUGCUUCUCUUGAGUCCCGGAGAGGAAGAUGGAAUUCCCGGUGUAGCGGUGAAAUGUGUAGAGAUCGGGAGGAACACCGGUGGCGAAGGCGGUCUUCUGGACGGUGACUGACGCUGAGGCGCGAAAGCGUGGGGAGCAAACGGG
rnacentral:rRNA from 1 species